UGGGGAAUAUUGGACAAUGGGGGCAACCCUGAUCCAGCAAUGCCGCGUGUGUGAAGAAGGUCUUCGGAUUGUAAAGCACUUUCGACGGGGACGAUGAUGACGGUACCCGUAGAAGAAGCCCCGGCUAACUUCGUGCCAGCAGCCGCGGUAAUACGAAGGGGGCUAGCGUUGCUCGGAAUGACUGGGCGUAAAGGGCGUGUAGGCGGUUUACACAGUCAGAUGUGAAAUCCCCGGGCUUAACCUGGGAGCUGCAUUUGAUACGUGUAGACUAGAGUGUGAGAGAGGGUUGUGGAAUUCCCAGUGUAGAGGUGAAAUUCGUAGAUAUUGGGAAGAACACCGGUGGCGAAGGCGGCAACCUGGCUCAUGACUGACGCUGAGGCGCGAAAGCGUGGGGAGCAAACAGGAUUAGAUACCCUGGUAGUCCACGCUGUAAACGAUGUGUGCUAGAUGUUGGGUAACUUUGUUAUUCAGUGUCGCAGUUAACGCGUUAAAGCACACCGCCUGG
rnacentral:rRNA from 1 species